UACGUAGGGUGCAAGCGUUGUCCGGAAUUAUUGGGCGUAAAGAGCUCGUAGGCGGCUUGUCGCGUCGGCUGUGAAAACCUGGGGCUCAACCCCGGGCCUGCAGCCGAUACGGGCAAGCUAGAAUUCGGUAGGGGAGACUGGAAUUCCUGGUGUAGCAGUGAAAUGCGCAGAUAUCAGGAGGAACACCGGUGGCGAAGGCGGGUCUCUGGGCAGUAACUGACGCUGAGGAGCGAAAGCGUGGGGAGCGAACAGG
rnacentral:rRNA from 1 species